UCAGUCUGGUUCGGCGUGGUUGGCUACUGGUUGCCCUCGGCGGCGGAGGCGAGAGCGGCGCCGCGCCACCUGCUGAACGCGACACGGCGACGGGCGCGACACGGGGCGGCGUAGACGAAGUCCGCGCCGGCGGCCGGUGCGUGCUCGCUGCCGGCGUUCGGCCGGUGCGCGAGUGCGUUGUGGCCCCGCAACACCAGCCGCCACGGCCAUCAGGGUGCUCGUGGAUCCGCUAGGACUGCCUUGUUGAGUCAAACCGCAACUGGAAGGCCUGCCAAGCACAGGUUCAAGCCUUGAAAGCCUGCCAGGCUAAAAGAAACAAAAAUGAUCAGACCUAACACUUUAUAUCUGCAAGUAGCUGAUAUCAUAAAAUGGUCAGCAUGGAUGUCAGUUUUCAGGAGACAGGAAGCAAUGCAGUGGAUAUUCUUAGCUAUCGAUGGGCAUUAAGAGCAUCUCAAACAGCUCUGAUGGCCGUGAUGUUUCCUUUUUUUUGCAUUGUAUCGCAUAAGUGCAGUUAUAACGACAAUAGAAACUGACACCAUAUAUUACUACCAGAUUUAUCGAUGUAGUGCUUUCAGAUUUCUUGACACAAUAGACAUACUGUGGUCUUUUUUUUUAAAAAAAAAGGAACGACUAGCCUUCGAGCUUGAGCUGAAAGAUUGAUGCAAGAGUAACUUUGUUCA